AAAAACAAAAAAUAUAUAUAUUAGUUUUUGUAAAAGCUCACGUAUUUAUCUUUUGCACACUUAGUAGUUUUCCAUACCAUUUUUGAUAAUUUUCAGCACUAGAUGAGCUUUUCAAUGUUCAAACUUCUCCAAUCUUAAACGUUAUUUGAUGAAGUGCUAAAAGAUAAAUGCAUUGGCAAUUGCAAAUGAAGUCAAUGAUAAGAUUCAUGCAGCUAUUGAUUAAAAUAUCAUUAAAAAAAGAAGUACCUACCACUAGAAGUUCUGAAAAAAAAUGUUACCAUUGGUAAACUAGUUAAUAAUGCUAAAACUAGCACAAAAUAAAGAAACCAAUAAACAAAGGCAAAUGGAUUAUGUUUGGCUUUGUAGUUUUGAACACUUGAAGUUAACUUCUCCCCAUCAGCAAAUAAACAGUCGUUGAUCAAAGUUGCAUCAUCAUUGCUGCAGUUUUAAGUAAAUAAGUUCUCAAUUAAAAUUGUGUGUAAAUGAAUUACCUUAGGGUACUCUAACAUGCUAAAGAAUUUAAGAUAUAACAUACCUUUUAUUUACUUUUUAUAAUGUUGUUCCCAUUUAAGUUUGAGAGGGUUGCAUUAGAGAAACCGUUAUUUUUCCUUUUUGCUUCUGUCCCAUAGGGUUUGGUUGACUUCCAUAUUGCUGAAAUAAUAGAAAAAAUAAAAUAAAAAGAUGAGCACACUAUUAUACUAAUAAAUCUAAAAAUAAAAAUAAGAAUGAUUUAAAGACCUGCUUGUUUGGUUGUGCCAGAGGAUGAACCAACUUCCAUAUUGUCUCUUAGCAUUCGGCUGACUUCCAAUAGGUCCAAAUUGGAUUUGACCUCCACUCAAUUGCCUUGCUGAAGUAAAAAAGGAUGAUAUAGUAAAUUUAUUUUAUUUAUUAAAUUGGUUGAUAAAUUAAUUUUAUUUUUGUUUGUUAAAAAUUACGUACAAAAACAUGUACAACAAUCACAUACAUAAAACUUUCAACCCCUAAAUUAAGAUAAACUAAUAAAAACUACAAUUACUAAAUAAGCAUUUAAAAGGUUAAUCAAAUCACAAUGACUUGAUGAAUAGGUUGUGCCGAAAGCUGAAUCAGUAUUUGUAUCCUUCAUCAAAAUGAAAAUGUAACGUUAGCAAUCCAUGUCCGAACAUUUAGUGACCUGAAUCAAUAUGAGAAUGAUCACAUUUUAAAUGCUAUUAAAUACCUCUUUAUUGAAUGGGACAACUCUUAUUGUGUCCAAGUUUGUUGAACUAGCUACAUGUCAAAGUGUACCAUUCCUUUCAAGCUAGUCCUUUAUUUCUUCUCUUUCUCUUUUAUUGUUAUGCUUAAGCCUACCAAUUUUAACAUGUUUCACUAGAGAGACAACAGGACAGGCUUGUCAAUUGGAGGCCAAUUACAUCGGUCCAGUAUUGGGCAUAAAGUCUCAUAGUAAGUCCGUAAAUGCACAUCUUUUCGUAGACUCUUAUCAACAAAGUCAACAGUUUCAAGAUGACUACAUGAAAUGUGAUUAGUGUAAAAAAUUAUAUGUUUAUUAAGGGUAAAAAUGUUAUUUUGUACUUAUAAUAUAAUUUACAUUUGUAAUUAUGUAACAUAUUAUGAAUUUCUAAUUAUUUUUCUAAAUAUUUGAUUUUGUGUAUUUUUAUGUGUUUAUUAGGUAAAAAUAAUAAUUUCACGUAAUUUGAGGCUUCAAACAAAUGUACAGAUGUCAAAUUUAGAUUCUGGAAGUCCAAGAAAUUAGGUCAUUGUCGAGAAGGAUCUGCCACUUUUGUGGUAAGUUUAAAAGUUUUUACUGCGGUAAAUGAGGUAAUUGUGAAAUUAUAAGUUUUACUAUGUUAUGUAUUGUAAUUGUUAGUGGAAUGUAUUGAAUGUACUUGAGUAUAUUAAGUUAGGUUUAUAUUUUGUUAGUGGGACAAAUUUAUUGCUAAGAUUUAAUUAGCUUUAUUUAUUUGUGUGGUGUAGAUUAAUCAUGUAUUAGUAUAAAUAGAGAGGGGGGAACACACUUUUCCACACAUUUCCUUCUCUUCUUUUCCCUUAAAUUUUUUUUCUCAUCUCUCUUCGUAAUAU
rnacentral:lncRNA from 1 species